CUUCCCAGGCAGCUUCUGCUAGUGUUUAGGUACUAGUGCAGUGUAGAACCCUUUUCUCAGGCAAAACCUAACAUCUGACCGCACCCUUUUUGCUAUUAAAAAAAAAAAAAAGCUUCUAUUUUUUUCCUCCUGUCGUUAAGAUAAAUUCUCCAGUAGACAACCUCUCCCACUAAUUGUGUAUUAGCAACGUAUUUUAUCUUGAGAGCUUGUACACUGGGCUCUCAACGUGGUGUGGAAGGUAGCCUGUUACAGUGCUGGAUUCAUAAAAGGGCCUUUAUGGUUUGUGAAAGAAUAUCUGUGUGCUUAGGGAGGAAACUUUUUGAUCUGCAGAAAAGCCAGAAGACAUCUAGGUAAGGCUACGAUAUCAAAUCUACUUUUUUGGGGGAAAGUUGGGCAGUGAGACUGCUUAAUCGCAACCAAUGUGAGUUUAGAGGGUGCAUGUUCACUUUUGUAGAAGUUCAAAAUGUACUGACGAUUGUUUGCUUAUUUUUUGUUUGUUUGUUUAAAUCUUAAAGGAAUACUGUCGUCUGCGUUUUUACGAUUUUGUUUUCUUCUAUUGAACCCAUUACAGUGGAUAUAGAGUUUUAUUAUAUAGCGAAAUCUUUGUAAACUGCCACAGAAAGAAAGUGUUAUUUAGAAGGGAAAUUGACAAGUUUUAAAGAGUAAUUGUACAAUCAUUUGAGGACAGAGGAACACUGCAUUAUACUAAUAAGGGUUUAAUUACCAAAAAAAGUUUAAUGUUGCUUUGGAAGGAAUAUUAAGUAAGUUGUCUUUGUCUCUUACUUUUUAAUUUUAGUCGCUGAUUUAGCCUGUUGGGUCACAUUUUUUGUUAGUGCUGAAGGCUGCCAUGAAUCCGUAAUGAGGCCCCUUUGCACAUGAUUUUGGCACUUGGCCAAAAUCAACUUCCCAGCGGCAAGCUUUCUCUAAAGAACCUGGAGCAAUUUCUUUCUUUUUUUUUUUUUUUUUAAAUCAGGAAUCAUGUCUGAAAGCUGCCACAACCAGUUGUAUAGGCAUGUCAAAAUGACUUUAUACAGUCAAUAUGAAACAAGCAUUAAAUAUUUUUUCUCAUGUUGUUGCUUUUAUCAUUAUGAAUUCCUUGCUUGUUGCCACCUAAGAUACGAUGGAGCAAGCACAGUCUUAAAGAAGAUUUGCUGAUUUUUUGUUUUUCUCAGCAGACCAGAGUAGGUAUGAUCAUCUUAUUGAGAAGUAUACAGUGCAAAAAAGGUUUUUCAAAACACUACAGGAUAAAUAACAAAUGAAUUCUUAAAACUGUUAAUCUCUGUAAGUAAUACUCAGUGAACAGUAAGUAAUGGAGUUUUCUAGAAGUUUCAUCGUGCGCGCAAUUAAGCUUAACAUUUUUAUAGUGUUUUUGUCUAUGUUAAAAGGUAGCAUUUGGGAUUUUUAAAAAUGUCAGCAUUUGCUAUAUAAUUUUAAAAACGUAUUAACACCUUGAUAUUAUUUCUAACAAAUGUUUUAAUAGAAAUGCUUGGUAUAUAAACAUGGCUGAAUAACUUUUAAGUAAUUGUGUUUAAUUGCUGUUUUGCAAUAAAAGGAUAAUUUUUCAUGAAAUAAAUUUUGAAGCUCAAAGGUACUUAACAUCCAAUUUCUGGAACUGUUAUUAAUUUUGAUAUUACUAUAACUGAAUUUUGUUCUGUAAGCCAAUUUUAUACUCUAGUGUUUUAAGAGUUAAAUUCACGAGUGGCAAUGAAAUACUAUAGCAAUCAAAUAUUAACACCUCAAAUUUUCUAUAGCCAUUUUCAAUAAUAUCUUUAGACAUUAAACAUAGGUACUCUACAGAAUAAUUAGAAGUAGAAAAGUGUAAUAUCAGUUGCUCUAUUUUGUUUUUUUAAAAGAAAUUUUAUUAUCACUAUCGUAAAUACUAUUAUGCCUUGUGUGUUAAUCUGUAGUAAUCCAGAGUGCAACUUUAUUUUACUAGAAACAGUCAUAUUUCUCUUUAAAAUAUUGAUGAGAAUCAGAUACAUUAUUUUUUAAGAGUGACCUAAUUAAGAGAUUUCUUAAUAGGCAUGUUUAUUCUGUAUUUGUCUUCCCUUUACAGUAUAGAAUAUUGCAAAUUUUGGUGAUAGAAAAAAUCAUAUUAAUUUUAGGUAAAUUUUAGGAUUAGAAAUUGCCUCCUGAUUUCCUUCAGGUCAUUUUUUGUAAAUAUACAAUUUAUAUUUGUUUUGCUGUGGACCAAAUUAUGAUACUGUAAAAACCUUGCUAUUAGUUUAACCGAGGAAUGGAGUGUUUGGAAUUUUCAUACUAGUCAACAUUAAAAGCCAUAGAAGUUAUAAAUUGUUAUUAAUAGAAAUUUACCUAGAUAAGGUCUCUUUGUAUGUGAGUUUACAGCUGAAUUCUUAUUUAAUGUAAUCUUUGUAAUUUAUAUAAAAGCAGUUAAUAAAGGUAAAUAUUUCAAAACUUGGAUUAAAAACCAAACAUUUUCACAUUUAUUAUCAUGAAACAGGUGCAGGAAAAAUAAGAUAGCUUCUCUUGUUGAGCAUGAUUCUCACUUAAAAAUUAAUUUUGAAUUCAAUUUUAAUUUUAAUUUUAGCUCUUACACACAUCUUCUGUUUUUAUUUUUUGAUUAUUUUGAAUCAGUUGUUGUACUUAGCAUUUGAAAUUGAUAGAUUAUUUUUCUAAUAUUUACUAAGAAAUGUUUUAACUGAAAAUUAUAGGGUAUUCUUUGUUAAUCAGAGCCCAUAGCAAAGUAAAUGCCAUCAAAUAUAGAACUUUUGGAGUACACAGAAGUGUUAGUUUGCGAGUUCAGAAGAAACUUACUUGUACACGAUUACUGACAAAUGUUUUUUAGUUGAGGUAGAAACAAGUAAGUAUUAAGGACAAUUUAAAUUAUCUUCCUUACUGAAAUAGCUAAAAAAAUUGCUUUCUUUUGCUAUGGCAAUGCGUUGUAAUUAUUUCCAUAAUCUAGGCUUUUUAGCAGAAUUAUUAGCUAGUUUUCCUUAGGACCAAAAAUGCAAAACACUGAUUACAUUUCCUUCAUUGAGUUAACAUUUUAAAAAUACUAUAUGGAAAUGUAAUUACUUUUAAAAAGAAAAAUAUUUUAAUAUUUUUGUUGAAUUUCUUCAAUUUAUAAAGAAUAGCUCGAACAAGUUUUUCGUUCAUCUUUUCCCCCAUACUUAUAUUGGAAAUAUUAAAAUCUAUGAAAUUUUACAAUGUGGAAUCUCUUUUACUCUUCAGAAAAAGUUAAAUUCAUUUAUAGUUGUCAAUUCAAAUUAUGGACUUUUACCAUUUUAAAUGUGACAGGGUUUUUUGUUUGUUUAUUUUAAUUAUGCAACAGGCACUUAAAAUACUUUCUUUCCCUCCAAUUAAAAGAGACAUUAAAUAAUUAAACAUCAACUUUUAUUCUGUAUUGAAAAGAAAGCUUUACCAUUGCAGUAUUUUAUCCACAAUUGUUUAAAUGUGAGAAAUGUUUACAACAGGGUAUUUUAGGUGAGCAUUUAUCAUUUAAAUGAAGUGCUUUGUUCUGAGGAGUCUAAAAUUCAGCAAUAAGAUAAAUGCAUUGCUACAUUAGAUUGAACAUCAUUGUUGAAUUUUUGGCACAACUUCAGUGACCUCGGCCAUAAAAACUAGUAUAGUCAGGAUGAUUUGGAAUUUGCAGUAACAAAACUAGAUAUAGAAGCACGUGAAGACACCAACCUUUGUUGUUUUGGAGAAAGUAUGCACUAAAAUAAAA
rnacentral:lncRNA from 1 species